AGAGUUUGAUCCUAGCUCAGGAUGAACGCUGGCGGCGUGGAUAAGGCAUGCAAGUCGAACGGACUAGUCCCAUGAAAUUACAAAAGACUUUGAGUAGCAAUACAAUGAGAAUUGAGUAAUGGAUUGGGUUUGCUAGUUAGUGGCGAACGAGGUAGUAAUAUAUAGGAACUUCCCCCGAAGUCGUGAAUAAUCCAUCGAAAGGUGGACUAAUACACGAUGGUCUCGCAAGAGUAAAGUUUUAACGCUUCGGGAAAGGCCUGUACGAUAUCAGCUAGUUGGUAGUGUAAUGGACUACCAAGGCUAUGACGUCUAGGGGAGGUGAGAGCCUGACCCCCACCGAUGGAACUGAGACACGGUCCAUACACCUACGGGUGGCUGCAGUCAAGAACCUUCCACAAUGGACGAAAGUCUGAUGGAGCGACGCCGCGUGAUUGAUGAAGUCCCUCUGGGACGUAAAGAUCUUUUAUGAGGGAAGAAGUUUAUUGACUGUACCUCAUGAAUAAGAGGCUCCUAAUCUCGUGCCAGCAGGAGCGGUAAUACGAGAGCCUCGAGCGUUAUCCGGAAUUAUUGGGCGUAAAGGGUGCGUAGGUGGUUCUGUUAGUCUUUUAUUAAAGCCCCGAGCUUAACUUGGGAUAUGUAAAAGAAACGGCAGAACUAGAAAGUGCGAGGGGUGUACGGAACUCAUGGUGUAGGGGUGAAAUCCGUUGAUAUCAUGGGGAACACCAAAAGCGAAAGCAGUACACUGGCGCAUAUUUGACACUGAAGCACGAAAGCGUGGGUAGCGAAUGGGAUUAGAUACCCCAGUAGUCCACGCCCUAAACGAUGAUUUCUCGCUAUUCGGAGUAUCGACCCUCUGAGUGGCUAAGCUAACGCGUUAAGAAAUCCGCCUGGGAAGUACGGCCGCAAGGCUAAAACUCAAAGGAAUAGACGGGGACUUGCACAAGCAGUGGAUUAUGUGGUUUAAUUCGAUGGUAAACGAAGAACCUUACCAGGGCUAGAAAUCAACGUGAAAGCUCUAAGAAACUAGAGCCCUCGCAAGACUAGUUGACAGGUGCUGCAUGGCCGUCGUCAGUUCGUGGUUUGAAUUGUACCCUUAAGUGGGCUAACGAACGCAACCCUCGUUGUGUGUUACAAGUGUCACACGAUACUGCCCCCGCCUUUGUUCAUGAAAAUUAUUUUCGUGGAUUGGGGCGGGGGAGGAAGGAGAGGAUGACGCCAGGUCAGCAUGACCCUUGAUACCCUGGGCUACACACAUAAUACAAUGACCGUUACAACGCGCAGCGACGAGGCGACUCUGAGCUAAUCGUUUAAAAGCGGCCUCAGUUCGGAUUGAAGUCUGCAACUCGACUUCAUGAAGCUGGAAUCGCUAGUAA
rnacentral:rRNA from 1 species